CCUACGGGAGGCAGCAGUGAGGAAUAUUGGUCAAUGGGCGAGAGCCUGAACCAGCCAAGUCGCGUGAGGGAGUACUGCCCUAUGGGUUGUAAACCUCUUUUGUCGGGGAGCAAAAGCCGGACGUGUCCGGCUGUGAGAGUACCCGAAGAAAAAGCAUCGGCUAACUCCUUGCCAGCAGCCGCGGUAAUACGGAGGAUGCGAGCGUUAUCCGGAUUUAUUGGGUUUAAAGGGUGCGCAGGCGGAUUUUUAAGUCAGCGGUAAAAUCGUGGGGCUCAACCCCAUCCAGCCGUUGAAACUGGGGAUCUAGAGUGUGCGAGAGGUAUGCGGAAUGCGUGGUGUAGCGGUGAAAUGCAUAGAUAUCACGCAGAACCCCGAUUGCGAAGGCAGCAUACCGGUGCACAACUGACGCUCAGGCACGAAAGCGUGGGUAUCGAACAGGAUUAGAUACCCUGGUAGUC
rnacentral:rRNA from 1 species